GACGAACGCUGGCGGCGUGCUUAACACAUGCAAGUCGUACGGUAAGGCCCUUUCGGGGGUACACGAGUGGCGAACGGGUGAGUAACACGUGAGUAACCUGCCCACAACUUUGGGAUAACGCUAGGAAACUGGUGCUAAUACUGGAUAUGUGCUCCUGCUGCAUGGUGGGGGUUGGAAAGCUCCGGCGGUUGUGGAUGGACUCGCGGCCUAUCAGCUUGUUGGUGGGGUAGUGGCCUACCAAGGCGGCGACGGGUAGCCGGCCUGAGAGGGUGACCGGCCACAUUGGGACUGAGAGACGGCCCAGACUCCGACGGGAGGCAGCAGUGGGGAAUAUUGCGCAAGGGGCGCAAGCCUGAUGCAGCAACGCCGCGUGCGGGAUGACGGCCUUCGGGUUGUAAACCGCUUUCAGCAGGGACGAAGCUUUUUGUGACGGUACCUGCAGAAGAAGCACCGGCUAACUACGUG
rnacentral:rRNA from 1 species